UGGACACUGCCUUGAUUGUGGUUUUUCCUUUCUGUGGAAAUAACUGUUGGGCGCCGUCCCAUAGCAAGCCAGAAGCUAUCUGUCCGCCCUCGGGAAGCCGACGAGGGUUGGAUCGUUCCACUUCUGACAUUC